rnacentral:rRNA from 1 species
GAUGAACGCUGGCGGCGUGCCUAAUACAUGCAAGUCGAGCGAACGGACGAGAAGCUUGCUUCUCUGCUGUUAGCGGCGGACGGGUGAGUAACACGUGGAUAACCUACCUAUAAGACUGGGAUAACUUCGGGAAACCGGAGCUAAUACCGGAUAAUAUUUUGAACCGCAUGGUUCAAAAGUGAAAGACGGUCUUGCUGUCACUAAUAGAUGGAUCCGCGCUGCAUUAGCUAGUUGGUAAGGUAACGGCUUACCAAGGCAACGAUGCAUAGCCGACCUGAGAGGGUGAUCGGCCACACUGGAACUGAGACACGGUCCAGACUCCUACGGGAGGCAGCAGUAGGGAAUCUUCCGCAAUGGGCGAAAGCCUGACGCAGCAACGCCGCGUGAGUGAUGAAGGUCUUCGGAUCGUAAAACUCUGUUAUUAGGGAAGAACAGAUGUGUAAGUAACUGUGCACAUCUUGACGUUACCUAAUCAGAAAGCCACGGCUAACUACGUG